rnacentral:rRNA from 1 species
GAUGAACGCUGGCGGCGUGCCUAAUACAUGCAAGUCGAGCGAAUGGAUUAAGAGCUUGCUCUUAUGAAGUUAGCGGCGGACGGGUGAGUAACACGUGGGUAACCUGCCCAUAAGACUGGGAUAACUCCGGGAAACCGGGGCAAAUACCGGAUAACAUUUUGAACCGCAUGGUUCGAAAUUGAAAGGCGGCUUAGGCUGUCACUUAUGGAUGGACCCGCGUCGCAUUAGCUAGUUGGUGAGGUAACGGCUCACCAAGGCAACGAUGCGCAGCCGACCUGAGAGGGUGAUCGGCCACACUGGGACUGAGACACGGCCCAGACUCCUACGGGAGGCAGCAGUAGGGAAUCUUCCGCAAUGGACGAAAGUCUGACGGAGCAACGCCGCGUGAGUGAUGAAGGCUUUCGGGUCGUAAAACUCUGUUGUUAAGGAAGAACAAGUGCUAGUUGAAUAAGCUGACACCUUGACGGUACCUAACCAGAAAGCCACGGCUAACUACGUGCCAGCAGCCGCCGUAA